rnacentral:rRNA from 1 species
AGUCUGGUGCCAGCAGCCGCGGUAAUUCCAGCUCCAAUAGUGUAUACUAAAGUUGCUGCAGUUAAAAAGCUCGUAGUUGGAUUUCGGUUAAUGAAAAGUUAGUCCACUUAAUAUAUAAGUGCGUACUGACGUUUUAUUUCCUUCUUUUCAGAUAUACAACUUGUUGUGUUCUGAAUCUUUUACUUUGAGAAAAUUAGAGUGUUCGAAGCAGGCGUAACCAAGCCUUUGAAUAUAUUAGCAUGGGAUAAUGGAAUAAGACUUUUUGCCUUAUUUUCGUUGGUUCUUGAGGCUAAAGUAAUGAUUAAUAGGGAUAGUUGGGGUCAUUAGUAUUUAAUUGUCAGAGGUGAAAUUCUAAGAUUUAUUAAAGACUAACUACUGCGAAAGCAUUUGACAAGGAUGUUUUCAUUAAUCAAGAACGAAAGUUGGGGGAUCGAAGAUGAUCAGAUACCGUCGUAGUCUCAACCAUAAACUAUGCCGACCAAGGAUUCGGGGGUGUUAUAUGAAUGACCCUCCGGGCACUUAUAGGGAAAUCAUAAGUAUUUGGGUUCCGGGGGGAGUAUGGUCGCAAGGCUGAAACUUAAAGGAAUUGACGGAAGGGCACCACCAGGAGUGGAAUAUGCGGUUUAAUUUGACCCAACACGGGAAAACUUACCAGGUCCAGACACAGUGAGGAUUGACAGAUUGAGAGCUCUUUCUUGAUUUUGUGGGUGGUGGUGCAUGGCCGUUUCUAGUUGGUGGAGUGAUUUGUCUGGUUAAUUCCGUUAACGAACGAGACCUUAACCUAUUAAAUAGUUACACAUACUUGGGAUUCGUCCUAAUAGUAUGUGGUUAACUUCUUAGAGGGACUCUUCACGUAAAGAGUGAAUGGAAGUUUGAGGCAAAAACAGGUCUGUGAUGCCCUUAGAUGUUCUGGGCUACACGCGUGUUACACUGAUAUAUUCAACAAGCAUUAUAAUUCCUUACCCGAUGGGGUUGGGUAAUCUUUUAAAUGUAUAUCGUGAUGGGGAUAGACCAUUGUAACUAUUGGUCUUGAACGAGGAAUUCCUAGUAAGUGCAAGUCAUUAGCUUGCGCUGAUUACGUCCCUGCCCUUUGUACACACCGCCCGUCGCUCCUACCGAUGAAUGGUCCGGUGAGGACUCAGGAUGACCGUGGAUUUUGGUAUAAUAUACCGUGCCAUUGUUUGUCAGAAUCUGUUCAAACCUUAUCAUUUAAAGGAAGGAGAAGUCGUAACAAGGUUUCCGUAGGUGAACCUGCGGAAG